GGGGAUGACUUGGUAUCGAUUAGAGCAGUGAGUAUUAGUUGCAUGUCGGCCUGAACAUGCCGUUACGCGGUUCAUUUUUUUUAGACGCAAACAAUACAAAUUACGCUCCAGCUUACGCAAAAGCUGCGUAAGUUUAACAACUUACUGACUCGGCCUUUCUGGCCUUGAGUCUUCGGAGGCUGGCACUACAGAUUCUAUCUAUGUAGAUAAUUGCUGGUUCACCCUAGAUAGAUUAUUUUUGAGGGAUUGAUUGAACUUCAAAAAGAAAUUCUAAAUCUUAGCUUUAUGAUUGCUUUUGGAAGUUGAGUUGUCAUAGAGUGAAAUUUUUCAACUUUGCUAAGCAUGUAGACGCUUUUAUAAGCUGUUUUAAGACUGCGGUUCGAUCCCGCACAUCUCCACCA
rfam:Arcobacter butzleri RM4018, complete genome.